UAAAUAUUGGUCAUAUCAUAUCAUAUCAUAUCAUAUCAUAUCAUAGUGAGCAAACGUUAUUCUAGCUGGACAAGUAGGAGCUUCAUUGAGAGCACCCAGAUGCAACAGCCUUCAGAGGUCAUGGGCAAGCAUAAAACAGUGAUUGGGAUUGAACAGAAGAGACGUUAAAGGAAAUACUGAGGGGGAAAAUAUCUCCAGGAACAGCUUCAGCCAGAGUUGGCUUCCUUAUCUAGAACUCUGUGUCACUUUGCUUGGGAAAAUUCAGACAACAACAAAAGCACCUGCUUUGGAUUCAGCGUUGGGAAAAAGGCAAAAUGGCUUUGGACGGAAGAGGCCUUGAGGAAGUGGAGGAAAUGGAUUCCGUCUCUUGCUUUUCUGACUAUAACGAAGUGUUUUAGGAACAACGUCUUAAUCGACUGAGAGAGAUAAAGAUAGUUGUCUCUUCUGACCUUUCUCAUUAUGAUGCUUCUUCAUGACCGUGCAUUCUACAUGGGCUGUUCCUCUGGGGGCUUCAGAGUCAGAGCCAUGAUUUUACUGUGAUGUCUGGAGAUCAGAAAGUCAUGAUACUUUGAAGACCCAAACAGUUGUAACUGUAAUGAUUUUUCCCCUAUUUACUUAAAUUUAAAUCCUGCCUUGGAACAUAGGUUUGGCACAACUUCCAUAUUACUGCUUACACAUACACAAUUUCCACAAAGCGGAGGUUCUAUAGCCAAUUAGUCAAUGCAACUACUUAUCACUUAGGUGUUUGGAUAAGCUGCACUUUCCCAGUGGGGAAUGGAACACACUCUGUAAAUGUUCACAAACACUAUAUUAUUUAUUAUGACUCCAUAUGUUUGAGACCAAGGGUUUGGUGUUCAAAACACAUAUGAAGGAAUCACUGAUUCCCAGCAGGUGUACAUCCCUGCUACUACCACUGUUUCUGUGUUCUGAAAACCUGGAAAUGUCUGGUGGAGAAUGUCAAGUGCUGUGACAAAACACAGAUCUCCAUCUUAGCUCAAUAAUGUUUUACACAUACACUCUACUCUGAGUGCUCUGAAUGGGGGACAUUCCUCCCUUUUGUUACUAAAUGGAGGCAAUUUCUUACUUUCGUUAUUGAGGGGACAGGGCCAUCAAGUUACAGGCCUAAGACAUUUUUUACAAGAGGUAACAGAGAUGUGCCAGGCCUUCUCAUUGGAUGCAAGAGCUGUCUGUCCUGGGAAGAGGGGGACAACUUUCCCCUCCCUAAUGGCUAUAAAAAUAGAGGUCAAGGGCCUGGACAGCAUUCAUCAUUUCCCAUCUACUAAUGGGUGUUCUAGGGGAGAAGCUGUAGAGAUUAAUGCUCUCUCAUCCAAGGAUUGGCCUAUUGCUAGACAAAGGUAAAACUCAGUGUUAGUUAGUUAGUUAGUUAGUUAGUUAGUUAGUUAGUUAGUUAGUUAAGGUUUUUGUAUUUUCUUUUGAAUUCCUGUGUGCCUUUCUUUAUGUCCAGUUUCCCCUAGUGGCUUUAGAUCAGUCUUCAAGUGGUUGAAGCCUACCUCAAAGGAGUGGCGUAUUCAAGAUUGGGAUCAGAGCAAUCUCUCUACUGAGGGUAGAUCCCAUGAAAGCAUAGAGUAACCCCUGUUUCAUCACAAGUACCAAACCAGUACAUAAUAUAUAUUGACAAGCAUGCCCCAUACAAAGAACGGAGACAAUGUCCAUGACAAAAUCCCAGCAAUGAGGUUAUUAUAAAACAUGCUCUUGAAAUGUUCCUAUGGGCACUACAACUGUACUAAAUUUGAUCCUAAUUGGUCCUGGCACUUCAAAGUUGUUAGGGGGGAACACACACACACACACACACACACACACACACACACACCACCUUGAAAUGGGUUCUGGAAUUCAUUUAUGGGAUAUCAAAGUUCAAUGUCCUCUGUAAUCUUAACAUGUAUACCAAGUUUGGUGCAAAUCAGUUCGGCAGGUCACACAGCCCACUUCCACCUCAAAUGUUCACACACACACCAUCUUGAAUUUGUUGGAGCUAGGACCUUGGCAGCAUCAGCUCUCAUCUGCAAAGUCUCAUAGUGACCACAUGGGUGCGGGUUAGGGUCAUGAAUAAAAGUGCUGGACUCCUCCCCUCUUUAUUCUUCCAGUGUUAGUCUCCAUUUUGUCUCUCCAGAGAUGGCUGUUUUAGUCUCUCUCUUCAGCCAUGAGCUACAGAAGAAAUUAAGCUGCAGGCUUUUUCACAUUUGCUUGUAUCCUUUUCUUUAAAUAAAUCAUUUUUAAAGUUUUGGAAGCUAUGUCUGAGAAAUGCAGCAGUGGCAUUUGCAUUGACUCAAGCAACCUGAUUAGAGAAAGGGAGAGAUUUAUAAACCUAGACACAAG